rnacentral:rRNA from 1 species
CGGCACGAGGGGAAAGUGGGCUUAAAGGAGCUAUCUUUUUAGAGUGGGUUAAUCCUCAAUAUUUUUUAUUAGUGAUCGUAUUUUAUUCCUUUUGUUUGAACGGAACCUCUUCACGAAACUAAAAUGUGAGGGUGAUAAUGUAAAGAUGAGUAGCUAAAUAUGUGGGGUUUGUUAAUUCGGGAAAUUAGACGUAAAACAAAUAAUCUUGAUAAGCAAAGCUAAAGGAACUCGGCAAAAAUGAAAACCGCCUGUUUAACAAAAACAUGGCUCCUUGAUAACAUAAGGAGUCGUGCCUUCCCGGUGAGUUUAAGCUUAAACGGAUGCGGUAAAGCGUGCUAA